CUUGAUUUUUAUAAAAAACGUCGAUAUAUUAACCAUUGCCAAGUAAUUGGCUGUGACACCAGAGACCUUAUGGAAUAGGUGCAUUGGACCCGAGGGCAGUACUCGGCACCUCCACCAAAUUUAUGGGGGUGAAACAGGUUCGACAGUGUUCAGUAAAGAUUUGUGUUGUGUCCGGCAAGAUACCACCGUUAUCGGUUCAAAAUAAACGAAUGCAAAUGAUAAUUUUGCACCGGUUGCAGUUGCCGCAUAAUUUAAGCAAAUGCAACAAAUUUUAAUCCUUUAAGCAUUGGUUUGCCUAAAGUGGGGGCGGAGCCACCCAGCAACAGAACGGCU
rnacentral:tmRNA from 1 species